rnacentral:rRNA from 1 species
UGGGGAAUAUUGGACAAUGGGGGCAACCCUGAUCCAGCCAUGCCGCGUGUGUGAAGAAGGCCUUUUGGUUGUAAAGCACUUUAAGCAGUGAAGAAGACUCCAUGGUUAAUACCCAUGGACGAUGACAUUAGCUACAGAAUAAGCACCGGCUAACUCUGUGCCAGCAGCCGCGGUAAUACAGAGGGUGCAAGCGUUAAUCGGAAUUACUGGGCGUAAAGCGAGCGUAGGUGGCUUGAUAAGUCAGAUGUGAAAGCCCCGGGCUUAACCUGGGAACGGCAUCUGAUACUGUUAGGCUAGAGUAGGUGAGAGGAAGGUAGAAUUCCAGGUGUAGCGGUGAAAUGCGUAGAGAUCUGGAGGAAUACCGAUGGCGAAGGCAGCCUUCUGGCAUCAUACUGACACUGAGGUUCGAAAGCGUGGGUAGCAAACA